rnacentral:rRNA from 1 species
GACGAACGCUGGCGGCGUGCUUAACACAUGCAAGUCGAACGGAAAGGCCCUGCUUUUGUGGGGUGCUCGAGUGGCGAACGGGUGAGUAACACGUGAGUAACCUGCCCUUGACUUUGGGAUAACUUCAGGAAACUGGGGCUAAUACCGGAUAGGAGCUCCUGCUGCAUGGUGGGGGUUGGAAAGUUUCGGCGGUUGGGGCUGGACUCGCGGCUUAUCAGCUUGUUGGUGGGGUAGUGGCUUACCAAGGCUUUGACGGGUAGCCGGCCUGAGAGGGUGACCGGCGACAUGGGGACUGAGAGACGGCCCAGACUCCUACGGGAGGCAGCAGUGGGGAAUAUUGCACAAUGGGCGGGAGCCUGAUGCAGCAACGCCGCGUGCGGGAUGACGGCCUUCGGGUUGUAAACCGCUGUCGCCUGUGACGAAGCGUGAGUGACGGUAAUGGGUAAAGAAGCACCGGCUAACUACGUG